GACAAAACACAUAUUUUCAAUCUUUAUUCUCUUUUGAUUUCCUAUCUUCUAUCUUAUUUUCUAAAUCUCGUAUGUCAACCAUGCUCCAACAAUCCGCGCUUCAGCAGCCUGAUGGUGAGAGACGAAAGAGAAAUGGAGCACUGGCGAGCCACCCAAGUGGAGAUUGAUCGGCACUUCCGCAUAAUCGAAGAGGCGCUGGGCGAGGAAGGGGAUGAACGGGACAUCAAUGGCUACCUUGCGGAACUAUCCAUAGACUGCGAUGGGCUUAGCAUGGAUAAGCCCCCUCUGGGAAAUCAUGAAGACCGUCAAGACUGCUGUUAAUGCGGUAAAUUUUCCUUUUCUUGUCCCUCUCUCUUUUCUUCUUUUAUUUUUAUUACUAUAGACCUAAUCAAAUUAUUUUCUAACACAUCCUAAAUUGACAACUCCUACUUUUCCAUAACUCGAAUUUCUUCAUUUUUUUUUUUUAACAGUUUCAUAGUUACCUGUUCCCCCCUCCGAUGAACAAUUUCAUCAAUUUAUUUCAAACAGAUCAAUAUUGUAUGGUUAUAUAUUAUUUUGUUGAAAGUUGAUAAAUAUAUAAUGAUUAGCUUAACUUUGAAAAUUUAUGGUGAAAAAGUUGUUCGUUUUUUUAUCACAUGUUUAAUGAUCCCACUUUCCACAACCCCCUUUUCUUGACAAAAAGCAAAUAUUAGAAAAACUCUAGUAAAUAAAAAAAGUCAGUUUAUCUUUUCAAAUUUGGAAGUUUUCAUUCUGGUUGUAGGGAACAUAUGUAAGGUUUAGAAACUUCAAUUGUUAAAAUUUCUUCCUGAUAUGGUCAAACCCCAAAUCCUAGGUACAAAGAUACAUACGACUUGUAUAGCAGUUUUUUAAUACAACUACUACUUUCCUAUAUUCAGUACCCUAUUGUAGAUAUCUAAACUGUUCAUGCUUCUCCUGAUAUCCGCUUCCAAUUUAGUGGUUUACCAUGACACUUCUAGUAGGUUUCCUUUGUGUGGCAAGGCUUCCUGCAAUGUGCACGCCAAGGGUUUCUUCAAUCAUGGGCUUAUCUUCAUGUUCCAGCUUCAAGCUGCUUUGGGGUUUUGAACUCCCUUAGUUUCCCCAGACCUAUAUUGUCUGGCCAUCGUUGUUUUCGCCAUGGUGGGUGAAUUACUGGAUCAGAGUGUUGUGCUCUAUAACAUGUAGUUUAGGAGAAGGAUAGGUAGAACUCAAACUAAGUAGAUAAGGGGAAAGUAAAAAUAUAAGACUGAGAUUUAGAUGAAUCUGAUUUAGAUGAAAUAUAAAACUAGUAGAACUCCUUAGUUUCUAAAAGAAUUAUUUAAAUUUUUGAAAGAGAAAGUCCUAACAACUUUGACACUACAUUAUAUGUUAAAGGUUUGAAAUUUCAUGAUUGUCCCUUUUUCUCUACUUUUUAUUAUUGAAACAGAACUGAGUAUAAAGAAGUCUGCUUGGUAAAUGUCACUGCUGAUAGGAAAAACCUUGCAAACGCAGAGAAAGUUGUGAGCUUCCCACUAGCUCUCCCAUUGCAACAACUCGUAAUUUUAGACUUCCAUUGACAUAUGAAGCUAUUGUGAUUCCUACUUAGGUUAAUUGUGUCGGAAAAGCAGCCAACAUUUAUGAUGUUGGUUAUCAGCUUAAUGGGAGUGCAUACGUUAUUUCCAAAUAUAUUAGCAAUACAUGGUUGUGGGAUCGGGUACGUGUUCUGUGAUUUAGAUACUCAGGCAAGUUGAACUAGUUGAACCUAUAUUUAACAUUAGGAAUAAUUAUUAAAAUAAUUUAAUUUUUAUAUAGUCAGUGCAACUUUUAUAUAGUCAGUGCAACUUUUAUACCCAGACUUUGUAUGACUCAACUGAUUUACCAUUUAUUUCAAUCUGCCAUUGGAUGAAUGUACUGUAGUUUAAUUAAAUUCCUUUUAGAAGCAUACCUUUUUCUGAUUCUUCUAGGAGUGUUCUCCUUCUUAUCUUAUAGUGAUCCCAAUUUGCUGAAGACACUUGAUGUAUAUGAUGGAACUGGUGACUUCUUAAGAAAACUACAAAUAGAUGACGACGCUUUGACAAAAGCCAUAAUUGGAACCAUUGGGGAUGUAGAUGCUUAUCAGCUUCCGGAUGCCAAAGGUAUGUCUAUGAGAUAGUUGAUGCUUUCGAAGCCUGUUUUCUAUGGAUAUUUGGUUCUUUUGCCACUCCAUGACCAAACCAGAGACUGGACCUGCAAGCAAAGAUUACUUGCUGAAUUAUUAGUAGUUGCGUCUAAAAUGUGCAAUUAUUGUUUUCAUUUACUGGGUAGUUGCGGUACUUACCAGAGGAAGAAAGACAAAGAAGACGUGAAGAAAUAUUAUCCACUAGGUGAAUACUUGAUCAUUUGAUCUGUGAUGAAGCAGUAUAAUGAUCACAUCUCACUCGAGCAUAAUCCCAAAACGUUUUUCUGAAUUUGGAAUUGAUGUUUGAACACAGCUGAUUUUCUGUGUCGUUGCUGCUCCACAGACUAGUCUCCACAGCUGAUUUUAUGACAUUUCUUAAAUAUUUUGCAAUGUAUUGUUUCCCUUGAACAUAAAUUAGUGACCUGGGCAACUUGGUGAUACGACCUGGGCAACUUAAUUCUGACCUGUGAAACCAUUCGUUGUUUUUAUACUGUUUUAUAUUUCUGCCA